rnacentral:rRNA from 1 species
CUGGAGGUAUCAGAAGUGCGAAUGCUGACAUAAGUAACGAUAAAGCGGGUGAAAAGCCCGCUCGCCGGAAGACCAAGGGUUCCUGUCCAACGUUAAUCGGGGCAGGGUGAGUCGACCCCUAAGGCGAGGCCGAAAGGCGUAGUCGAUGGGAAACGGGUUAAUAUUCCCGUACUUGGUGUUACUGCGAAGGGGGGACGGAGAAGGCUAUGUUGGCCGGGCGACGGUUGUCCCGGUUUAAGCGUGUAGGUGUGUGUUCCAGGUAAAUCCGGUUCACUUUAACACUGAGGCGUGAUGACGAGGCACUACGGUGCUGAAGUAACAAAUGCCCUGCUUCCAGGAAAAGCCUCUAAGCAUCAGGUAACAUCAAAUCGUACCCCAAACCGACACAGGUGGUCAGGUAGAGAAUACCAAGGCGCUUGAGAGAACUCGGGUGAAGGAACUAGGCAAAAUGGUGCCGUAACUUCGGGAGAAGGCACGCUGACACGUAGGUGAAGUGAUUUACUCACGGAGCUGAAGUCAGUCGAAGAUACCAGCUGGCUGCAACUGUUUAUUAAAAACACAGCACUGUGCAAACACGAAAGUGGACGUAUACGGUGUGACGCCUGCCCGGUGCCGGAAGGUUAAUUGAUGGGGUCAGCGCAAGCGAAGCUCCUGAUCGAAGCCCCGGUAAACGGCGGCCGUAACUAUAACGGUCCUAAGGUAGCGAAAUUCCUUGUCGGGUAAGUUCCGACCUGCACGAAUGGCGUAAUGAUGGCCAGGCUGUCUCCACCCGAGACUCAGUGAAAUUGAACUCGCUGUGAAGAUGCAGUGUACCCGCGGCAAGACGGAAAGACCCCGUGAACCUUUACUAUAGCUUGACACUGAACAUUGAGCCUUGAUGUGUAGGAUAGGUGGGAGGCUUUGAAGUGUGGACGCCAGUCUGCAUGGAGCCGACCUUGAAAUACCACCCUUUAAUGUUUGAUGUUCUAACGUGGACCCGUUACCCGGGUUGCGGACAGUGUCUGGUGGGUAGUUUGACUGGGGCGGUCUCCUCCUAAAGAGUAACGGAGGAGCACGAAGGUUGGCUAAUCCUGGUCGGACAUCAGGAGGUUAGUGCAAUGGCAUAAGCCAGCUUGACUGCGAGCGUGACGGCGCGAGCAGGUGCGAAAGCAGGUCAUAGUGAUCCGGUGGUUCUGAAUGGAAGGGCCAUCGCUCAACGGAUAAAAGGUACUCCGGGGAUAACAGGCUGAUACCGCCCAAGAGUUCAUAUCGACGGCGGUGUUUGGCACCUCGAUGUCGGCUCAUCACAUCCUGGGGCUGAAGUAGGUCCCAAGGGUAUGGCUGUUCGCCAUUUAAAGUGGUACGCGAGCUGGGUUUAGAACGUCGUGAGACAGUUCGGUCCCUAUCUGCCGUGGGCGCUGGAGAACUGAGGGGGGCUGCUCCUAGUACGAGAGGACCGGAGUGGACGCAUCACUGGUGUUCGGGUUGUCAUGCCAAUGGCACUGCCCGGUAGCUAAAUGCGGAAGAGAUAAGUGCUGAAAGCAUCUAAGCACGAAACUUGCCCCGA